GCUCCACAUCUCCUCUACACAGCACAAUAACGCUGGCUCUAUCGGUGUUUUGGCCAAUGGAAGCAUUGUAGAAACCAUAGUUAUCUAUUUUUGAGGGAAGGGAUGUGAGGAGUGUGUUUAGAUUGUUCUUGUAGGUACUAUUCUCAGUAUAGUUACCAUUCUCACCACAUGAACCAAAUCGUAACUGAGGCAGCUGGGCUACAAUAUUGAGAACAUGUAAAUGCAGAAACAGAAAGAGUAACCACUUUUGAAUUACCAUGGCUAUGUCUGUUUAAGUUGCAAGCAAAUUUUGAUAUUAGUGCUGAAUAUGUAUAACCUAGAAACAGAGUUAGAGAGAAAACGUAUGGACU
rnacentral:misc_RNA from 1 species